UGCAAGUCGAACGGUAAGUUAGUUGCUUGCAACUAACACGAGUGGCGCACGGGUGAGUAACGCGUACGCGACCUGCCCUCAAGAGGGAAAUAGCCCUGGGAAACCGGGAUUAAUGUCCCAUGUGAUUGUAUUUCUAAGGGAUAUAAUUAAAGGAGCGAUCCGCUUGAGGAUGGGCGUGCGUGCUAUUAGCUAGUUGGUGAGGUAAUGGCUCACCAAGGCGACGAUAGCUAGGGGGCGUGAGAGCGUGAACCCCCACACGGGUACUGAGACACGGACCCGACUCCUACGGGAGGCAGCAGUAAGGAAUAUUGGACAAUGGGGGCAACCCUGAUCCAGCCAUCCCGCGUGCAGGAAGACGGCCCUAUGGGUUGUAAACUGCUUUUAUUAGGGAAGAAUAGCAUCAAUGAAUUGGUGUAUGACGGUACCUAAAGAAUAAGCACCGGCUAACUCCGUGCCAGCAGCCGCGGUAAUACGGAGGGUGCAAGCGUUAUCCGGAAUCACUGGGUUUACAGGGUGCGUAGGUGGAAUACUAAGUCAGGCGUGAAAGGUUACAGCUUAACUUGUAGACUUGCGUUUGAUACUGUUAUUCUUGAAUUACGAUGAGGUUGGCAGAAUGCGACAUGUA
rnacentral:rRNA from 1 species